rnacentral:rRNA from 1 species
GAUGAACGCUGGCGGCGUGCCUAAUACAUGCAAGUCGAGCGAACAGAUAAGGAGCUUGCUCCUUUGACGUUAGCGGCGGACGGGUGAGUAACACGUGGGUAACCUACCUAUAAGACUGGGAUAACUUCGGGAAACCGGAGCUAAUACCGGAUAAUAUUUUGAACCGCAUGGUUCGAUAGUGAAAGAUGGUUUUGCUAUCACUUAUAGAUGGACCCGCGCCGUAUUAGCUAGUUGGUAAGGUAACGGCUUACCAAGGCGACGAUACGUAGCCGACCUGAGAGGGUGAUCGGCCACACUGGAACUGAGACCGGUUCCAGACUCCUACGGGAGGCAGCAGUAGGGAAUCUUCCGCAAUGGGCGAAAGCCUGACGGGGCAACGCGGCGUGGGUGAUGAGGGUCUUCGGAUCGUAAAACUCUGUUAUUGGGGAAGAACAUACGUGUAAGUAACGGUGCACGUCUUGAGGGUACCUAAUCAGAAAGCAACGCCUAACUACGU